rnacentral:rRNA from 1 species
UCCACGGUCUCUGCGACGCAGCUAACGCAUUAAGCGCCCCGCCUGGGGAGUACGAUCGCAAGAUUAAAACUCAAAGGAAUUGACGGGGCCCCGCACAAGCAGCGGAGCAUGCGGCUUAAUUCGACGCAACGCGAAGAACCUUACCAAGGCUUGACAUAUACAGGAAUACGGCAGAGAUGUCGUAGCCGCAAGGUCUGUAUACAGGUGGUGCAUGGUUGUCGUCAGCUCGUGUCGUGAGAUGUUGGGUUAAGUCCCGCAACGAGCGCAACCCUCGUUCUGUGUUGCCAGCAUUUAGUUGGGGACUCACAGGAGACUGCCGGGGUUAACUCGGAGGAAGGUGGGGAUGACGUCAAAUCAUCAUGCCCCUUAUGUCUUGGGCUGCACGCAUGCUACAAUGGCUGGUACAAACGGCUGCAAUACCGCAAGGUGGAGCGAAUCCGAGAAAGCCAGUCUCAGUUCGGAUUGGGGUCUGCAACUCGACCCCAUGAAGUCGGAGUUGCUAGUAAUCGUAGAUCAGCAACGCUACGGUGAAUACGUUCCCGGGGCUUGUACACACCGCCCGUCACGUCACGAAAGUCGGUAACACC